AUGAACAUCUUGAGAAAAAACAUUGCGGGCUGUGAUUUUAGGUGGAUCUGGACAGCGAAAAUUCCCCUAAAGAUUAAAAUUUUCCUCUUGCAAUUAUUUCUAGAUGUUAUUCUUACCUGUGAUGUUAUGAGCAGGUGCAAUUGGGCUAGGAACCCCAAAUGCUCCUUUUGCAAUGAUAAGGCAACCUCUCAACACUUGUUCUUCAUGUGCCCCGUUGCUAGGGUGAUUUGGCGUAUGGUAGGCUCGGUUUUUGGUACGAGUUGCUGCCCAAGCAACCUGUCGCGGUAUUAUUCGUGGUGCCAUGUUUACCUUCCUGAUGGGUCCAAUUAUUACAGUUUUUGCCUUGCUGCAAUUUGUUGGGUUGUUUGGAAUAGUCAAAACCAUGCAACUUUUGAGUUUAAGCUCCCUAAAACACCGUUUGAAAUUGUCUUCUCCGCAUGUGUAUUCAUCAAUUAUUGGGCAGGUUGA
rnacentral:rRNA from 1 species